GGGCAAGACGCUGGCGGCGGCCUAACACAUGCAGUCGAGCGGAUGAGUGGAGCUUGCUCCUUGAUUCAGCGGCGGACGGGUGAGUAAUGCCUAGGAAUCUGCCUGGUAGUGGGGGACAACGUUUCGAAAGGAACGCUAAUACCGCAUACGUCCUACGGGAGAAAGUGGGGGAUCUUCGGACCUCACGCUAUCAGAUGAGCCUAGGUCGGAUUACCUAGUUGGUGAGGUAAAGGCUCACCAAGGCGACGAUCCGUAACUGGUCUGAGAGGAUGAUCAGUCACACUGGAACUGAGACACGGUCCUGACUCCUACGGGAGGCAGCAGUGGGGAAUAUUGGACAAUGGGCGAAAGCCUGAUCCAGCCAUGCCGCGUGUGUGAAGAAGGUCUUCGGAUUGUAAAGCACUUUAAGUUGGGAGGAAGGGCAGUAAGUUAAUACCUUGCUGUUUUGACGUUACCAACAGAAUAAGCACCGGCUAACUUCGUGCCAGCCAGCCGCGGUAAGCC
rnacentral:rRNA from 1 species